rnacentral:rRNA from 1 species
GAUGAACGCUGGCGGCGUGCCUAAUACAUGCAAGUCGAGCGAACGGACGAGAAGCUUGCUUCUCUGAUGUUAGCGGCGGACGGGUGAGUAACACGUGGAUAACCUACCUAUAAGACUGGGAUAACUUCGGGAAACCGGAGCUAAUACCGGAUGAUAUUUUGAACCGCAUGGUUCAAAAGUGAAAGACGGUCUUGCUGUCACUUAUAGAUGGAUCCGCGCUGCAUUAGCUAGCUGGUAAGGUAACGGCUUACCAAGGCAACGAUGCAUAGCCGACCUGAGAGGGUGAUCGGCCACACUGGAACUGAGACACGGUCCAGACUCCUACGGGAGGCAGCAGUAGGGAAUCUUCCGCAAAGGGCGAAAGCCUGACGGAGCAACGCCGCGUGAGUGAUGAAGGUCUUCGGAUCGUAAAACUCUGUUAUUAGGGAAGAACAUAUGUGUAAGUAACUGUGCACAUCUUGACGGUACCUAAUCAGAAAGCCACGGCUAACUACGUG